ACAAUAUGCUAAUGAGCUGGGGAGCCUUUAAGUGUCAGAGCUCAGCCAGCACAGCAGUUAGGAGCCUGUGAACCUGACAAGGAUGCAUAGCAACCACAAAAUACGAGCACGUGGAACAAAGUGUCUGCGAGCCAUACAGAACCUCAGCACUGCAUGCACAAAGAUUACAAACACAGCGGGAACUCGCUGCUAACAGUUAUUUCUUGUGCCCUGGACAGGAUAUCAUCUUAUACUGUAAGUUUAUUAAAGAGACACUACAGUAUAGAUGAUGUACUAUCCAGGGUGUCAUUCCCCCUCCGGCUCCGUCAGCACACAUUCAGGCCUAAGUGACUGCGGUAGUCUGCACACGCAGCAGAGGAGGGCCAUCAAACCGUUACCAUUACUGAGUUUUAGUAAUGGUAAGGGUUCUAUGGCCCUCGCUCAAUGCCAUCAGGACUGGGAAGAUGAAAAAAGCUUGUAGCUGAUGUGUUAUUCAUGAUCUUCUGAUUCCAUUUUUGAGAUGUACUUGUGCAUGCGUGAAAAUAAAUCUUAUGGCUUUCAAA